CAGGAUGAACGCUGGCGGCGUGCUUAACACAUGCAAGUCGAACGAAGCAACCUAUACGAUCCCUUCGGGGUGACGAUUGUUGACUGAGUGGCGGACGGGUGAGUAACGCGUGGGUAACCUACCUUGUACAGGGGGACAACAGUUGGAAACGACUGCUAAUACCGCAUAAGCGCACAGUGCCGCAUGGUACAGUGUGAAAAGUUUUUUCGGUACAAGAUGGACCCGCGUCUGAUUAGCUAGUUGGUGAGGUAACGGCUCACCAAGGCGACGAUCAGUAGCCCGACCUGAGAGGGUGACCGGCCACAUUGGGACUGAGACACGGCCCAAACUCCUACGGGAGGCAGCAGUGGGGAAUAUUGCACAAUGGGCGCAAGCCUGAUGCAGCCGACGCCGCGUGAGCGAAGAAGUAUUUCGGUAUGUAAAGCUCUAUCAGCAGGGAAGAUAAUGACGGUACCUGACUAAGAAGCACCGGCUAAAUACGUGCCAGCCGCAGC
rnacentral:rRNA from 1 species